UACGUAGGGUGCAAGCGUUGUCCGGAAUGAUUGGGCGUAAAGCGUCCGCAGGUGGCACUACAAGUCUGCUGUCAAAGACUGGGGCUCAACCUCAGAAAGGCGGUGGAAACUGUAGAGCUAGAGAACGGUAGGGGCAGAGGGAAUUCCCAGUGUAGCGGUGAAAUGCGUAGAGAUUGGGAAGAACACCAGUGGCGAAAGCACUCUGCUGGGCCGACACUGACACUGAGAGACGAAAGCUAGGGGAGCAAAUGGG
rnacentral:rRNA from 1 species